rnacentral:lncRNA from 10 species
CAGACAUUGCUCUCAGUGCUUUGCAUGUAUUAGCUCACUGAAUCUUCACGACAAUGUUGAGAAGUUCCCAUUAUUAUUUCUGUUCUUACAAAUGUGAAACGGAAGCUCAUAGAGGUGAGAAAACUCAACCAGAGUCACCCAGUUGGUGACUGGGAAAGUUAGGAUUCAGAUCGAAAUUGGACUGUCUUUAUAACCCAUAUUUUCCCCCUGUUUUUAGAGCUUCCAAAUGUGUCAGAAUAGGAAAACAUUGCAAUAAAUGGCUUGAUUUUUUAAUGUCAUUUUUCCCUCUUAUAGUCUUUCUAGCUCCUUUUCAAAAGACGAGAAUAUCUGAUUUUCUGAUAAUUUAGGUGCUUAAGCAUCCAAAAUACAUGGGACACACAAAAAUCCAGGAAUCCCCUGUAGCUUAUUCCCUCUUUCCCAUCGGAACCAGCUCUCAUCACACAUUUAAAAGAUGAUUCUGUUUACCCAAUGCUGCAUAUUGAAUGUUGUGUAGUUAUUCACAGGGAAUUCUGUGCAGUGUGCAGAGAGAUUCCUAAACGGGAAAAGGACUGGGAAUACAUCCUCCUUACUGUGACCUCCCCAAAACCUAGUCCAGUGCAAGGUAUACAGUGGUGCUCAUUAAAUACUUGAUGAAUACAGGAA